UUCACAACCCAACAUAUUAAUUAACUAGAAAAGGAAAAAAAAAAUACUCGUAUUAAAAAUGUUAAUCGAGCGGUAAACCUAAAUUUACACUAUGAAGUAAAUUAAAACAGUAGGUUACGAUACACUAGUCCCUUUCCGUCCCUUCUCUAUAUAAACUGUACUGUACUCUCUUCCUGUAACUGCUCUUCAAGAUGCCUUUAAAGCCUGUACUAGUCCACAAUUUACCGGAAUAUAAAACCCUAAUUCUGGAUUUUGAUCGAAGAUGAAUUGUUUUACGCCAUGGGAGACUUAUAGGGGAGACUUUUGAAUUGAUCUGAUGAACAAGCACCAUGUGCCGAAGACAUUUGGGGAUAAAGUUGCUUACAGGACUGUGAAAUACCUUAGAAUUGCAACUGAUGUUUUUUAAGGCGUGUUAUCUUCUAUAUCUUGUUUCUUCUUUUUCUUUGUCUUGUCAAUGGGGUCCCUUUUAAAAAUUGAGCAACACUAUGUUUAUGGAAAGGGAAA